UACGUAGGGUGCAAGCGUUAAUCGGAAUUACUGGGCGUAAAGCGCGCGUAGGCGGCUUUUCAAGUCGGAUGUGAAAUCCCCGGGCUUAACCUGGGAACUGCAUUCGAGACUGUCUAGCUAGAGUAUGGGAGAGGGAAGUGGAAUUUCAGGUGUAGCGGUGAAAUGCGUAGAUAUCUGAAGGAACAUCAGUGGCGAAAGCGACUUCCUGGACCAAUACUGACGCUCAUGUGCGAAAACGUGGGGAGCAAACAGG
rnacentral:rRNA from 1 species